ACGCUCAUUCGGUAGUAUAUCUUCUAAAACUACAGUGACACAGAGAAAAUUCACAUGGCCCCUGCACAAGGAUAACACACACAUUUGUGAAGCAUUCCAUACUUUU